UGCGGAGUUGAUUUCUGCGAUUAAGAGGACGUUGGCUCGCCUUCUCGUGAUCAUUGUGAGCCUGGGCUAUGGCAUUGUGAAGCCUCGUUUAGGAACAGUCAUGCACCGGGUGAUCGGACUGGGGCUUCUAUACUUAAUCUUUGCAGCUGUUGAAGGCGUGAUGAGAGUCGUUGGGGGUUCUAACCAUUUAGCUGUUGUUCUUGAUGACAUUAUUUUAGCAGUUAUUGACUCCAUUUUUGUGUGGUUCAUUUUUAUUAGUUUGGCACAAACUAUGAAGACCCUAAGGCUAAGAAAGAACACUGUGAAAUUUUCGUUAUAUAGACAUUUUAAAAAUACUCUGAUCUUUGCUGUGCUGGCUUCUAUAGUGUUUAUGGGGUGGACAACUAAGACAUUUAGAAUUGCAAAAUGCCAAUCAGAUUGGAUGGAACGCUGGGUUGACGAUGCAUUUUGGAGCUUCCUUUUUUCGCUUAUCCUUAUUGUAAUCAUGUUUUUGUGGAGACCAUCAGCAAACAAUCAGAGAUAUGCCUUCAUGCCCUUAAUAGAUGAUUCUGAUGAUGAAAUUGAGGAAUUCAUGGUAACUUCUGAAAAUUUAACAUCCUGCCUAAAGUGUCCAUUAUUAACCCUCCAUUUCUAAAAA
rnacentral:sRNA from 1 species